rnacentral:misc_RNA from 1 species
AAAAAGGAUACCGGGCAACCGGUAGACCCCACCCGCGUCUCUCUACUCUUGUUGCUUUGGCAGGCCGUGGCCUCCACCGCGGGCUCUGCCUGCGUGUGCCUGCCAGAGGACCAAACUCUGAAUUUUAGUGAUGUCUGAGUACUAUAUAAUAGUUA